AAAGUGAUCACCUCGCUUUCCCUGCAG
rnacentral:piRNA from 1 species